rnacentral:rRNA from 1 species
UCGGGAAUUUUGGGCAAUGGGCGAAAGCCUGACCCAGCAACGCCGCGUGAAGGAUGAAGUAUUUCGGUAUGUAAACUUCGAAAGAAUAGGAAGAAUAAAUGACGGUACUAUUUAUAAGGUCCGGCUAACUACGUGCCAGCAGCCGCGGUAAUACGUAGGGACCAAGCGUUGUUCGGAUUUACUGGGCGUAAAGGGCGCGUAGGCGGCAAUUCAAGUCAUCUGUGAAAUCUCCGGGCUUAACUCGGAACGGUCAGAUGAUACUGCUUUGCUAGAGUGCAGAAGGGGCAAUCGGAAUUCUUGGUGUAGCGGUGAAAUGCGUAGAUAUCAAGAGGAACACCUGAGGUGAAGACGGGUUGCUGGGCUGACACUGACGCUGAGGCGC